rnacentral:misc_RNA from 1 species
UCCGGCUCUACGCCGGCAGUCUCUCUAGAGUCCCCGCCAUUACGCGCUGGCAACUAAAGACGGGGGUUGCGCUCGUUGCGGGACUUAACCCAACAUCUCACGACACGAGCUGACGACAGCCAUGCACCACCUGUGCACGAGCCCCGAAGGGCUGCCGUGUUUCCACGACAUUCCCGUGCAUGUCAAGCCUUGGUAAGGUUCUUCGCGUCGCGUCGAAUUAAACAACAUGCUCCGCUGCUUGUGCGGGCCCCCGUCAAUUCCUUUGAGUUUCACCCUUGCGAGCGUACUCCCCAGGCGGUAUACUUAAUGCGUUAGCUCCGGAACAGGGGGGGUUGAGCCCUCCUACUCCUAGUAUACAUCGUUUACGGCGUGGACUAC